GCCUAGCGCGCGGAACGGCUGGGGCCGGGGCGCGGAUGCUGGAAGUUCACAUCCCGUCGGUGGGGCCCGAGGCCGAGGGGCCCAGGCAGAGCCCGGAGAAAAGCCACAUGGUGUUCCGAGUGGAGGUGCUGUGCAGCGGGCGCAGACACACGGUGCCGAGGCGCUACAGCGAGUUCCACGCCCUGCACAAGCGGGUGAGGCGGCGCCGACCUCCCACCGGCCCCGGCCCAGCCUCUGUCCAGCCCCUGCCCAGUCCCUGUGAGGCGGGCGGGCGAGCUCCAGCCCCAGCCUCCGCCAUCCCCAUUACUGCCUCAGUCCCUGCGCGGCCGGUCAGCCCCCGAGCCUCUGUGGGUGGGUUGGGGCCUUCCUCGCCCUCGGCCGGUCCACCACUCACCAGGGUCUUACCCAGGGUAGAGCCCGAAGGCGGGGGCGCGGGAGGGCUUCUGGCUCAGGCGAAGAGGGCUUGAGGGCUCAGUCGGGAUGCUGUGAUCGCACGCGGUAAACCUCCAGUAGAUCAAGAAGCUGUACAAAGUGCCCGACUUCCCCUCGAAACGCCUGCCCAACUGGAGGACCAGAGGGUUGGAACAGCGCCGGCAGGGCUUGGAGGCCUACAUCCAGGGCAUCCUGUACCUGAACCAGGAGGUGCCCAAGGAGUUACUGGAAUUCCUGAGACUUCGGCACUUCCCCACAGACCCCAAGGCUAGCAACUGGGGCACCCUGGGGGAGUUCCUGCCUGGCGACAGCAGCUCCCAGCAGCACCAGCGGCCUGUCCUGAGCUUCCAUGUGGAUCCCUAUGUUUGCAACCCCUCCCCAGAGUCGCUGCCCAACGUGGUGGUGAAUGGUGUGCUCCAGGGCCUCUACAGCUUCAGCAUCAGCCCAGAUAAAGCCCAGCCAGAGGCGGCCUGUCACCCUGCUCCUCUGCCACCGAUGCCCUGAUCAGUCCAGAGGCCUUUAGCUGCCUCCUAAGAAAGUCAUGUGCCUCUGUCCUAUGAGCUCCAUAUAAGGCUAGGUCCUCCUUUGGCCUGGACCCAGGACUUAACUACCCAGUGCCCAGUUGUGCCACAUUCCCACUCAAGGCUCAGAACUUGGCUCGCAUUGGUAGCUGGAGGUGGUAGAAUCUGCACGCUCUUAGAGCCCAACAGCCAAGGCAGGGUCAAGAAGAUAAGUAAUAAAGGAAGAAGUCAGCCAGG
rnacentral:sRNA from 1 species